rnacentral:rRNA from 1 species
CCCUGCUUCCAGGAAAAGCCUCUAAGCCUCAGGUAACAUCAAAUCGUACCCCAAACCGACACAGGUGGUCAGGUAGAGAAUACCAAGGCGCUUGAGAGAACUCGGGUGAAGGAACUAGGCAAAAUGGUGCCGUAACUUCGGGAGAAGGCACGCUGACACGUAGGUGAAGUGGUUUACCCAUGGAGCUGAAGUCAGUCGAAGAUACCAGCUGGCUGCAACUGUUUAUUAAAAACACAGCACUGUGCAAACACGAAAGUGGACGUAUACGGUGUGACGCCUGCCCGGUGCCGGAAGGUUAAUUGAUGGGGUCAGCGCAAGCGAAGCUCCUGAUCGAAGCCCCGGUAAACGGCGGCCGUAACUAUAACGGUCCUAAGGUAGCGAAAUUCCUUGUCGGGUAAGUUCCGACCUGCACGAAUGGCGUAAUGAUGGCCAGGCUGUCUCCACCCGGGACUCAGUGAAAUUGAACUCGCUGUGAAGAUGCAGUGUACCCGCGGCAAGACGGAAAGACCCCGUGAACCUUUACUAUAGCUUGACACUGAACACUGGUCCUUGAUGUGCAGGAUAGGUGGGAGGCUUUGAAGUGUGGACGCCAGUCUGCAUGGAGCCAUCCUUGAAAUACCACCCUUUAAUGGCUGGUGUUCUAACGUGGGCCCGUGAACCGGGUUGCGGACAGUGUCUGGUGGGUAGUUUGACUGGGGCGGUCUCCUCCUAAAGAGUAACGGAGGAGCACGAAGGUUGGCUAAUCCUGGUCGGACAUCAGGAGGUUAGUGCAAUGGCAUAAGCCAGCUUGACUGCGAGCGUGACGGCGCGAGCAGGUGCGAAAGCAGGUCAUAGUGAUCCGGUGGUUCUGAAUGGAAGGGCCAUCGCUCAACGGAUAAAAGGUACUCCGGGGAUAACAGGCUGAUACCGCCCAAGAGUUCAUAUCGACGGCGGUGUUUGGCACCUCGAUGUCGGCUCAUCACAUCCUGGGGCUGAAGUAGGUCCCAAGGGUAUGGCUGUUCGCCAUUUAAAGUGGUACGCGAGCUGGGUUUAGAACGUCGUGAGACAGUUCGGUCCCUAUCUGCCGUGGGCGCUGGAAGAUUGAGGGGGGCUGCUCCUAGUACGAGAGGACCGGAGUGGACGCAUCACUGGUGUUCGGGUUGUCAUGCCAAUGGCACUGCCCGGUAGCUACAUGCGGAAGAGAUAAGUGCUGAAAGCAUCUAAGCACGAAACUUGCCCCGAGAUGAAUCUUCCCUGAGCCUUUAAGGCUCCUGAAGGAACGUUGAAGACGACGACGUUGAUAGGCCGGGUGUGUAAGCGCAGCGAUGCGUUGAGCUAACCGGUACUAAUGAACCGUGAGGCUUAACCUUACAACGCCGAA